rnacentral:rRNA from 1 species
UACGAGGGGGGCGAGCGUUGUUCGGAAUUAUUGGGCGUAAAGGGUGCGUAGGCGGUUUGGUAAGUCUUAUGUGAAAUCUACAGGCUCAACUUGUAGUCUGCAUGAGAAACUGCCGGGCUUGAGUGUGGGAGAGGUGAGUGGAAUUCCUGGUGUAGCGGUGAAAUGCGUAGAUAUCAGGAGGAACACCGGUGGCGAAGGCGGAUCUCUGGGCCAUUACUGACGCUGAGGAGCGAAAGCGUGGGGAGCGAACAGG